ensembl:lncRNA
GAAAAUAGUUAAACCAUGAUAACCACAAAAUAAUCAUGGCUUUGCUACACUAACCAUAGCUUAACCAUGGUAUUAUAGUUAAUCCUUUGUAAAUGUUAGUAAUUUGUGGAUUUAAACCGGAUCGUUUCUACACACUGUUUCUCCUGGUUUACACGUCAGGGAUGUUGAGGAUCUCAGCGCUGUUUCAUCUGGUUUUAAGCUCGUAGAAAUCAGUAGUUUGUGGGUUUGUGUCGGAGAACUCGUCUCAGUUGCUUCACACUGGAUCUCACAGCUCUGUUUAUAACGGUCACGUGAUGGACAGCGGUCAGUAUUUACUCUGAGCUCGCGCUGCGCUUUCUUCCGGUUUCGUUGUGCAGUCUCGUUCCGCUUUUGUCGUUUAAAUGCUGUCCGUACACAACACAAAUGACACCAGUUCGAUCGCUAACACACUUAAGUCUCACUAGGGAGAAGAAAAACCUUGCAAAAUGCGACCUACUAGUAACAGUCUGGAGCCCUGACUUUUCCCAAAUAACUUGUCGAACUGGUUUAAUAUCUUCUCUGACAUCGAACGCAGACUUGUGGAGCGUAACGUUAGUUGUUUUAGCAAAACAAAAGACAGGACAGAACUACACUUAAAGCGUUUUCUGAACUAACUGGUUGUGUACGAUGAAAUUACACACAAAACCCAUCUCGCUCUUCACACUGAUUCUGCUGUUUCACACUGUCCAAGCAGAAGCAUCUCAUGAUGAGGCUCUGAGGAUCCUGGUUGUGGGAGUCAGAGGUCAGUCCAGAUUCAGUGCUGCAGAUCUUCUGUCAGGAAGGAAAGACGGAGGACAGGAGGACAGAGAGAUUGUAAAGACUCCAGUAAUUACAGACGGGGCUCGUAGAAUGAUGCUGGUCACUGGACCAAACCUCUGUGAGGAGGACACAGAGAGACAGACCUUCACAACAGCGCUGUUUCUCUCGUCUCCUGGACCUCACGCCGUUCUAAUGGUCCUGAAUCUGGAAGAUCAACAAUCACAACAGUGUGAUAUUGAGAAACGAGCCCAGGAGCUGCUGGGAGCAGAAGUCCUGCAGUACUGCAUUGUUCUUCUGCUCCAAAAUCACCAGGAACCUUUGACAGGAGCCUCCAGAGGGAUUGCUGGAGAAAUGAUCAACGCAUGUGGAGGAAGAUUUCACAUCAUAAGAGACUCUGAACCAAAACCUGCUCAAAGAACAACUCUUAUAACAGAAAUACACAAGUUAGUUUGGCUCAAUAGUGACACAUUUUAC